UUUUUUUUUUUUUUUUUAUUUGCAGUUACUGAUAAUACUAGCAUUUUGCAUACUUUUUUUUAUUUGGAUGUUCUUCCAAUUGAUCAAUACAGUAACUUUAGAACUAUCAUCGCUAUGCCUUUAAAUGACCGCACUAAAAGCAUGGUACCGAAGCACUGACAUAACAGAGAGGUUCAGAAAGGAAUUUAAAGAUUGACUUUUUCGAUAAACUUCAUGUUACAAGUCUUAUCGUUUGUGUUUAUAAAUCAUCAGCCUCUCUCUAUAUCUCUAUAUCUCUAUAUAUCAGAUAUAAAGAUGCGAGUUUUGAAGUAGACAUUCCGCACAAAGUCUAGUACACCAUGUCUCUUGUGCUCAGGCUGGUUGUCCUGCAAAAAUGUACAACAGGCAAAUGGAUGUUUCAUCAAAGAUGGACUCCUUUGUCUCAUACUUAUUGAUGGCGAAGCUAGAUCCGUUAUCAUCUUGAGAAAACACAUCAUCGUCGUACUACAUUUUUUUUCUUACUCAUUGCUUGUUUAUCUACUACGAUUAAACC
rnacentral:sRNA from 1 species